CAAAUCCAGGUUAGGUAUCCUCCUUCUUUCUUAAGUAUCUAAAAUAUUUCUCCUCCAAAGACUGCAUUUGCCCCAGUGAUGUAAAUUUUCCAUCAUGGUGGCAUAAUAUCUGUAAACAUCUCACUAAAUGCAAAAUGGAGUUUACAUUUAUGUGCAUAUUAGUGGAAGAGAAGUAAACUAUGUAUUCUUAUUUGCAUGUAGCUAUGUUGUCAAACGUGGCCGACUGAAAUUCAAGAAAGAAUUUGUUUUCACCCAGCAGUGUACAUCACUUUCCUCUUGGCAAGGAAGCUGGUGUUAACAUUAGGUUUAGGUUUAACAUUUACACCAGCGCAAAUGUUUAUGGAUAUUAUGGAAAACUUAUUUUAAAAUCUUGAUUUCCUUUCAGUACAUUUGCAUACUGUGUGCUGAUUAAUAAAUUAGGCACCAAUCAUGUGUGAAUCAAUGUAAAUCACUAGUUUAUGUACAUAAUAUAAACUAUGUAAACUUCAUUUUUCAUGCAGAGCCCAAGUUCAGCUAAGCCUAUAAAUCUUAAAGAAAAAAAUUUUUUAAAUGAAUAAAAACCAAAGCAUUUCACAGGUCAGAAUGGGAAGAAGUAUGACUAAUGGCUCAAACAUAAAGUUGCCUCAGCAAAAGGAAGCAGACCCACAGGAACUGUUAUCGAUUCACAUCCUGCUGACGUCACAGGAGGCCGCCUCUGUGUUCCUUCAGGACCUAAAUGGAGUUUCUCCCAACUCUUGUCACAGUUGUCUCACCUGACCCCAAAGCAAGGGAAAUGAAGAGACAAGGGGGAAGGAGAUUUCAGGGCUCAUGUAGUAAGAGUUGUUGUGAAGGCCAAAAUCAAAUGUGAAAAUUGAAUUCUCUGAGAAGCGGGUAAGCAGAAAGGAUGGUUUCUCAGGUGGCUAAUGAGGAAUACUUUCUUGUGCCAUGUUCUGGAUCGAUUGAGCACAAGCCCACUUGUCUUGACCCACCAAAGUAUAGCCCCACAUUAUCCUAGAGGCUCAACUUAGUAUCUGUCCAACAGUAGCUUUUCAUGCAUUGCCUAAGAGAACAGAAAGAAUCUGAGUUAUCUGUACACUGAAGAGCAGGGAUUACUCAUAACUUCCCAGCAUUAGUAUCACUUUAUGUAAAUAAGGAUAUACAAUCGCUGAGAGUACUCAUGAAGCUCUACUUAAGUGGGAGAAUGACCUGCCCACAGGACAACUCCCCAUUUCCAUGAUUAUUUCAGAGGUGCCUCUUUUUGAGUGGUGCUCCUGGAUUUAUUUCUACAGUCACAUUCAUCUCUGCACAAGCCCUCUCUAUGUAAAGCCAGGCACAGAGUAAAAAUCUCCUCUUGUAAAUGAAGAAAACACCUGGGACUACUAGCUUCAUGACACGUGGUAGUAAUUCUAAGCUAUCUGGAGCCUUUUCUGAACCCACUUCCCUAAGUCUUUGCUCUUCACCAGAGAAUGUACAUGGUUCCUCCUGGUGAAUUAUGGCCAAGUUCUGCUCCUUAAGUACUUACUGAGAAUGGGGGAAAGUUACAGGGAGGGAAAUACAGGGGAGAGAAGCCCUGGAGAAAACCUCCCCUUCCUUCCCCCACCCUGGCUUCACCCCUUCCUUCUCUCUGCUCUACUGAAGGGUGUAUAAAUCCUGCUCUUGGUUAGAAUUCUCUUAUUAACAGUGUUAUAUACAUAUAAAUAUAUAUAUAUAUAUAAAUAUAUUCCUUUUUUCAGCCCUGUAGACAUAAACAGAACUGUCCUUGAUGAUACAAACACAUGGCCAUUUUUGGUUUGGGUUUUUUGUUGUUCAAGGUUUUUUACUUUUAUUGGGUGGAUUUUUUUUCCCUGGAUACUAGCUCUGUGAAGGAAAAUAAAAAAGCGCAGUGUGUGUAAAAAAAAAAUUAAAAUUAAAAAAAGCUUUUUUCCUUUUCUUUUUAAAUGUAUUUAAAUUCUGUUCUCUCUUCUGUUACUUUACACGUAUGAAUGCUCUGCUCUUCUGUGAUCUUAAAACAAAAUGAAAUAAACGUGAAAAGGAGAUGUGUCUUCAUUUCCAUGAGUCAGUGAUCCUGUGGUUGACUGUGCUGCUUCUUGAAAGUUUUCAUGAAUAAGAUAAGGACUGAAGACAAUGAUAAUGGAAAUUAUGUGAGGAAGGGGUGGACAAAAUACUGAAGAAUCACUUGAAGUCUCUUCUACCACAGACGGGA
ensembl:lncRNA